UACGUAGGGGGCAAGCGUUGUCCGGAAUCAUUGGGCGUAAAGAGCGUGUAGGCGGUUCGGUAAGUCGGCUGUGAAAGUCCAGGGCUCAACCCUGGGAUGCCGGUCGAUACUGCCGGACUAGAGUUCGGAAGAGGCGAGUGGAAUUCCCGGUGUAGCGGUGAAAUGCGCAGAUAUCGGGAGGAACACCUAUGGCGAAGGCAGCUCGCUGGGACGUUACUGACGCUGAGGAGCGAAAGCGUGGGGAGCAAACAGG
rnacentral:rRNA from 1 species